CUUCGCCCUCCGAAAAUGUGUAAUUGUAAUCCGACUGUGCUCGUUGCCUGACGCUAUCGGCGAAGUCCUGAAAUCGUGGACUGGUCGGCUGAAGAAGAGACACCCUUAAUAAGGCUUCAUAAGCCUUCCUGGCAGCGGCGUCAUCCUCAUCUCCGACCUCCCAGUCGUGAUCACCCCAAAAAGACUAUGAAUUCGAACUUCAAGACAUCUUGUGCGAUUACACUUACUUCUGGCGUACAUGCUCGCGUCGCGAAGGUAAAGAUGAUACGAUUCGUCGUCGGAAUUCCCGUCCAAAUCCCUCACAAACUUCAAGAGCCCUUCCUUACGUAGACCAUAUUCCAGAUUCUUUCCUACCGUCAAUGAAAACAAGUCCGAUCUGUCCAAUAUCAACGCAACAUGAGACCAUCCGAACUCUUUGAACACGCUAGAGAAGACGAGCCGCAAUCGACACUGGCAGUACGACAUUCUCGUUAAAGUGGGAUACUUGCUUUUGUCUUUAAAAAUCCCCUUCAAGAAAAAGAUGAAACACACAUCAUGGGAAACGAAAGUUUCGAGCAAAAAUAUCUGGAGCAUCGAGGAAUUUUCACGGAACUCUUUUUACAAGAUUUCAGUAGACAUCUCGAUAUAUAUCCGUGAUGCAAAUAAAAGUUGACGGAAAGUUAAUCGUGCGAACCGAGCGCGACGAAAUGUACAUAGAGGCAAUAAUCAGAUGCAAUAUUUAUGUGUGCGUAUAAUUGUGAGGGCAAAUUCAACCUACUU